GAGGAUGCAGGGCUGGGUGUCAGCUGGUCCUGCCUGGGUGGCUGUGCCAUCUCAGCAGCUGGCGGGGAAAGACCCAAUAGGAGGUGGGAAGCGCGUUCUGGUGCUCGCAGUGUCCCCCGCGGGCCUGGUGGCAGAGGUCAGGUCCCCUGCUAUCUGCACCCAGUGUCCUGGUCUGAGGCAUGAAGGAGGUGGGUGAAGGCGCCACACAAAUGAGGGGAUGCCCAGUUGAAUGUGGGUGUCAGGUAAGGAGGGCACACGCCGUAGCAGGAGGAUGUUCUGCACAAUGUCUGGGACCGACUUACCCUAAACGAUGGUCUCUUACUUAUCUGAUACUGGCUGUUAAGUGGGCAGCCGCCACGGUUAUUACGGAUGAGGGCCGUGACCGUGGUGCACAGAUGGGGAGUCAGGGGCCCGGGAGCUGGGCCUAGACCCCUGGCCGGGACUCACCUCCUUCCCACGGGCUGUGUCUCCCUGUGGCCCAGGGCCCUGACAGGCGGGGCUGAAGGUGGCUCUGAGGGAAGAGCCUGCCUCCACGAUGCUGGCCAGCAGGCUGGUGAGGGGCUGGGGACACAGGGAGUCCUUGAGCUCAUGCUGGGUGUCCCCCACCCUACAAGGCAGGGCUGGGAGGAGCUGCCAGCAUCUGCCCCAAGCACCUGUCUCUAAGUCUGGUGGAGUCUGCUAGAGCUACUGGGCUGAAAUGGCUGGGGGAGAGCAGGGAAAUGGGGAUGGCUGGGGGAGGGACACCUGCACAGACCCCUGGGAGGUGGGGGAAGGAGUGGGGGAAUGGGAGCUCCUGGCCGAGGUGCCUCCCUGAGCCCUCAGGUGCAAGGAUGGCUCUUCCAUGACCACAUCCGGGGCAGGGUGGGGGCAUCAUGGCAGCUGUGCCCUCCAGCCACCUUGCACUCAGCUAGGAAAGCUCUGUGUGGGGGGAGGGAAGAGAGAUAGUGUGGAGCCUCUCCUCCCCCCACUUCUCCACAAACUGGUGGCAUUUGUGGUAAACCAAGGACCUGGGAGGUGGCCUACAAGAGGAGCAGGAGCCGGCAAGGUCAGAUGCGAGGUGUCCAGCCUGCAUAAAGGGGUUGUGAGGGUGUAUCAGCAGCUGCCUUGCCAUGGCCUCCUGGGCCCUCCUGCUCCUCGCCUCGGUGCUCCUGGCCACCCCAGGUCUGACCUAUUCUGGUCUGAUCCCUGAGGACCAUGAUGACCUGUCCACGGCCGACAUUUGUCAGGAAGAGCAGUUCUUCAGGAGACUGGCCCAGGAGGCUGCCCAGGUUCUUUGCUGGCUCCCUGCUCACCUCCCGAGCCCCUCCUCGUUUUCUGCAUCCAGGGAGCACCAGGCGAUAGCUGCACAUCUCUUUCGGGGGGGUGGGGGGGACAGAGCAGUGGGCUGAAGACGCUGCUCUUGUGCGCACUUGUGCCUGGCUCAGGGGGGCUACCUUGGUCUGUCUGGGCCCUCCCCUGAGAGGCCCCUCUGGGGUCUGAGCAGAGAACACAAGGGGGGCAGGUGUUGGAAUGGAGAAGGUGCAGUGGGUGUGGGACAGGCUCUGGGUGGGUCACCCCGCUAAGCCCACCAGGAAGGUGAGCUCGGGCCAGGCAGCUAGCUGGUCCUAGGCCCUAAAGGACAGAAAGAUCAUUGGUCAUCGUGGUGGCCUAGGAGGAUGCAAGGGCUCCUUUCUGAAUCUCUGCUCAGGAUUCUAGGGAUUUCUGAGAAACCACUUUGGGGAUCUUCUUUUUCUGACAGGGCGACCAGUUCAACCAAUGUGAUAUUUGUCGAAUGAUAAUGACUUGGCUGAGGACUUGCGUGGGACCGUCCCAGAUUCAGGUGAUCUUCAGAUUUGCGGAACCAACUGCACGUGCAUCUGGGGUCAAAGUAGGGGCUGGGGGCAGGACCCUGAGGAGAAGCUGAUCCCUCUUUGGGCCAGACCUUCUCAACAGGGUAUCUGAGGUCCCCUCCUGCGUCUGGGGAGGGACUACAGAGAACCAUUUGAAAUUGGGAUGUUCUGGGAGCAGGCAAGGAUGUUUUCUCUUUCAUUGUCAAAGAAACUUGUAGCCAGGAGAGGUAGGAAUCUUUCUCCUGUGGUCGUACUGCAUGUGCCCACGGGAGAGCCUAUGAGGCUGGAUCCAAGGGCAUCUGGGUCAGGGUUGAUGAACCCCAGAUGUGUCACCUCUAGCUGCAUGCCUGGGCCAAGUUUCUGAGCCUCAGUUUCUGAGCUUUCUGAGCCUCAGUUGCCUUCUCUGUGCAAUGGGAUAGAUAUUAAUCCCCCAACCACUUCCUUAACUUGGAGACUGAGGGUGGGAUGAGCUGAGUUUCCCAUCUGGUCCUGAGCAAGUGCUGAACAAGUGGAUGUGUUCCUCCCAGGAAGCCUGGUUUCACCCUCCCUCCCUCCCUCCCUCUCCUCUGUUCCCUGACCCUGCUCAGCUUCUGGGUGCUGCAGGGCCCACCCUCAGCCCUGGGCACUCAGCUGUAGCCUCUCUCCUGCGAUUGCAGUAGAGGAUACUGCAAAAUGGAAUGUGCCAAGGCUCAAAGCUCUCUCUCCUAACCUUCCCCGCCGCACCUGAGCCUGAGCCCUGCCAGCCCUGGGACCCAGGAGGCUCUGUAGGCAGAACCUGAUUGUGGGGUAGCAGCAGAGGGCACUGUACUCCACAUACAAGACAGUGGGCCUGGGGUGAUGAUGCACUAGGGACUGACACAGGACAGAGCCAACUGUCCUUGUCUCCUGAGCCCAUCCUGGCCAGGCCUGCAUCAGGGCUUUGGGCCUGGGAAUGAGGGCCGAUCCUGCUCUCUCCAGCCUCUGCUUCCAUG
rnacentral:lncRNA from 1 species